rnacentral:rRNA from 1 species
UACGGGGGGAGCAAGCGUUUGUUCGGAUUUACUGGGCGUAAAGGGCGCGUAGGCGGUCGUGACAAGUCACUUGUGAAAUCUCCGGGGCUUAACUCGGAACGGUCAAGUGAUACUGUCGGACUAGAGUACAGAAGGGGCAACUGGAAUUCCUGGUGUAGCGGUGAAAUGCGCAGAUAUCAGGAGGAACACCGGUGGCGAAGGCGGGUCUCUGGGCCGUAACUGACGCUGAGGAGCGAAAGCAUGGGGGAGCAACAGG